UCCGUAGGCGGGUAAUUAAGUCAGAGGUGAAAUCCCACAGCUUAACUGUGGAACUGCCUUAGAUACUGGUUAUCUUGAGUUUUAGUGAAGUAGAUAGAAUGUGUAGUGUAGCGGUGAAAUGCAUAGAUAUUACACAGAAUACCGAUUGCGAAGGCAGUCUACUAACUAACAACUGACGCUAAUGGACGUAAGCGUGGGGAGCGAACAGGAUUAGAUACCCUGGUAGUCC
rnacentral:rRNA from 1 species